AACGUAGGGUGCGAGCGUUAAUCGGAAUUACUGGGCGUAAAGCGUGCGCAGGCGGUUUUGCAAGCCGGAUGUGAAAUCCCCGGGCUCAACCUGGGAAUGGCAUUCGGGACUGCAAGGCUGGAGUGCGGCAGAGGAGACUGGAAUUCCUGGUGUAGCAGUGAAAUGCGUAGAUAUCAGGAGGAAUACCGAUGGCGAAGGCAGGUCUCUGGGCUGACACUGACGCUCAUGCACGAAAGCGUGGGGAGCAAACAGG
rnacentral:rRNA from 1 species